UACGGAGGAUGCGAGCGUUAUCCGGAUUUAUUGGGUUUAAAGGGUGCGUAGGCGGUUCGUUAAGUCAGUGGUCAAAUUGAGGGGCUCAACCCCUUCCCGCCAUUGAAACUGGCGACCUUGAGUGGAAGAGAAGUAUGCGGAAUGCGUGGUGUAGCGGUGAAAUGCAUAGAUAUCACGCAGAACCCCGAUUGCGAAGGCAGCAUGCCGGCUUCCUACUGACGCUGAAGCACGAAAGCGUGGGGAUCGAACAGG
rnacentral:rRNA from 1 species